rnacentral:rRNA from 1 species
UACGUAGGGUGCGAGCGUUGUCCGGAAUUAUUGGGCGUAAAGGGCUCGUAGGCGGUUUGUCGCGUCGGGAGUGAAAACCUUGGGCUUAACUCAGGGCUUGCUUUCGAUACGGGCAGACUAGAGGUAUGCAGGGGAGAACGGAAUUCCUGGUGUGGCGGUGAAAUGCGCAGAUAUCAGGAGGAACACCGGUGGCGAAGGCGGGUCUCUGGGCCGAUACUGACGCUGAGGAGCGAAAGCGUGGGGAGCGAACAGG